rnacentral:rRNA from 1 species
CCUACGGGUGGCAGCAGUGGGGAAUAUUGCACAAUGGGGGAAACCCUGAUGCAGCGACGCCGCGUGAGUGAAGAAGCAUCUCGGUGCGUAAAGCCCUAUCAGCAGGGAAGAAAAUGACGGUACCUGACUAAGAAGCCCCGGCUAACUACGUGCCAGCAGCCGCGGUAAUACGUAGGGGGCAAGCGUUAUCCGGAUUUACUGGGUGUAAAGGGGGCGUAGACGGCGGUGCAAGCCAGAUGUGAAAGCCCGGGGCUCAACCCCGGGACUGCAUUUGGAACUGCGCUGCUAGAGUGGCGGAGAGGCAGGCGGAAUGCCUGGUGUAGCGGUGAAAUGCGUAGAUAUUAGGAGGAACACCGGUGGCGAAGGCGGCCUGCUGGACGGUGACUGACGUUGAGGCACGAAAGCGUGGGGAGCAAACAGGAUUAGAUACCCUUGUAGUC